rnacentral:rRNA from 1 species
AUUGAACGCUAGCGGGAUGCUUUACACACGCAAGUCGAACGGCAGCGCGGACUUCGGUCUGGCGGCGAGUGGCGAACGGGUGAGUAAUGUAUCGGAACGUGCCCAGUAGCGGGGGAUAACUACGCGAAAGCGUAGCUAAUACCGCAUACGCCCUACGGGGGAAAGCAGGGGAUCGUAAGACCUUGCACUAUUGGAGCGGCCGAUAUCGGAUUAGCUAGUUGGUGAGGUAACGGCUCACCAAGGCGACGAUCCGUAGCUGGUUUGAGAGGACGACCAGCCACACUGGGACUGAGACACGGCCCAGACUCCUACGGGAGGCAGCAGUGGGGAAUUUUGGACAAUGGGGGCAACCCUGAUCCAGCCAUCCCGCGUGUGCGAUGAAGGCCUUCGGGUUGUAAAGCACUUUUGGCAGGAAAGAAACGUCGCGGGCUAAUACCCCGUGGAACUGACGGUACCUGCAGAAUAAGCACCGGCUAACUACGUG